AAAAUGGUAUUUUUCAAUACCACAAAUAUAUUAAAGGUGAUUUGU
rfam:Canis lupus familiaris chromosome 15, whole genome shotgun sequence.